GCCUGGGUGGCUCAGUCGGUUGAGCGUCUUGACUUCAGCUCAGGUCAUGAUCUCACAGUUCGUGAGUUCAAGCCCCGCAUCGGGCU
rnacentral:tRNA from 1 species